AUUCGUUAUUUAAGAAUUUGUACAAUUGGGCAUCAGGUGCCAGAUGAUGACACUAUUUUUAAAUUCCCAUGUGCUGUUAAUGGGUUUUUGAAAGAAAAUAAAGAUAAUGACAGACUUAUGGGUGUCCACUGUACCCAUGGUUUAAACAGGACUGGCUACCUCAUCUGCAGAUAUUUGAUUGAUGUAGAAGGCAUGUGGCCAGAUGAUGCAAUUGAAUUAUUCAAUAGGAGCCGUGGACAUUGCUUAGAAAGACAAAACUUCAUUGAAGACCUUCAGAAUGGUCCCAUCAGAAAGUAAGUUGCAUAUUAUAUGUGAUAUUUGUGGUUAGGAAGAUCUAUUCUUAUAUCAUUUAAGUUGCACAUAUCCCUUCUUCUUGUACCUUGUUUACUUGCUCGAGGAAACCUAAACAAAUAGGAAUGGGGGGGGGAUGGAAUUGUUAUUUUCACGGGCCAAAAUAUAGUCCUAAAUUGGCUACUGAAUUUGCAGACCAGUAAUAUUUUGUGGAAACAUGCUGU